rnacentral:rRNA from 1 species
CACGUAGGGGGCGAGCGUUGUCCGGAUUCAUUGGGCGUAAAGGGCGCGCAGGCGGCCCGGAAAGUCGGAUGUGAAAACUCGAGGCUCAACCUCGGGCUUGCAGUGGAUACGGGCAGACUAGAGUGCGGUAGGGGAGACUGGAAUUCCUGGUGUAGCGGUGGAAUGCGCAGAUAUCAGGAGGAACACCGAUGGCGAAGGCAGGUCUCUGGGCCGCAACUGACGCUGAGGAGCGAAAGCGUGGGGAUCAAACAGG